AUUGAACGCUGGCGGCAGGCCUAACACAUGCAAGUCGAACGAGUGGCGGACGGGUGAGUAAUGUCUGGGAAACUGCCUGAUGGAGGGGGAUAACUACUGGAAACGGUAGCUAAUACCGCAUACCAUCGGAUGUGCCCAGAUGGGAUUAGCUAGUAGGUGGGGUAAAGGCUCACCUAGGCGACGAUCCCUAUCUGGUCUGAGAGGAUGACCGGCAAAACUGGAAGGGAGACACGGUCAAGACUCCUACGGGGGGCAGCAGGGGGGAAUAUUGCAAAAUGGGCGCAAGCCUGAUGCAGCAAUGCCGCGUGGAUGAAGAAGGCCUUCGGGUUGUAAAGUACUUUCAGCGGGGAGGCGUUACCCGCAGAAGAAGCACCGGCUAACUCCGUGCCAGCAGCCGCGGUAAUAC
rnacentral:rRNA from 1 species